GACAACGUAACAUCGGAAAUUAGUGGUGAAGAACACUUCCUUACUUUCGCAUGAUUUGGGCAUUGUCUAUUUGAGCGGGGAUGCGAUAGCGUAGGUUUUACUAACUUGCGCUCUUAUGAUGUUGUAGUAACGAUGCCGAUUACACGCUCUCAAUCUGUUGGAGCGGAUAAUGCGGCAAACUUGGAGGAGGUCGAGACCUCCGCUACCUCCGGAUCCGGCGAGGUCCGUGAGUUGAGGAGCUAGCUUGCGACCAUUACUGAUCUCGUGGCUCAGCAGGCGGCGGCAGCCCAACUGCAGGCCGAUGCAGCGCGCCGACAGGAGGCGCGGAUGAAGCGCCUGGAGGACCUUCUUCUACAGCAGGCGGCAGCUUCCAGGGAGACCCAGGCCCCUACACUGCCAGCACCAGUUGUGGACGUCGCGCCGAGAGCGCCGUCCCCUGCGCCCAGUUCGUCGCGUGCGGCGCCCGUGGCCGCGCCUCAGGAGGAGGGUUUGGCGGCGCCACCUGUUCAGGCACCCCCGAUUGGAGCUGUUUCCCCGUGAUGGUUGAGGGGGCAGAGCGGGACCGACUGAUGGAGCGCCUUAACGAGUUCAGGAGGUGCGGUCCCCGGAUCUUCGAC
rnacentral:lncRNA from 1 species